rnacentral:rRNA from 1 species
UGGCGAACGGGUGAGUAACGCGUGAGGAACCUGCCUCAAAGAGGGGGACAACAGUUGGAAACGACUGCUAAUACCGCAUAAGCCCACGGGUUGGCAUCGACCUGAGGGAAAAGGAGCAAUCCGCUUUGAGAUGGCCUCGCGUCCGAUUAGCUAGUUGGUGAGGUAACGGCCCACCAAGGCGACGAUCGGUAGCCGGACUGAGAGGUUGAACGGCCACAUUGGGACUGAGACGCGGCCCAG